AUUCCCUGCCUUAGUUCAAACUGUUUUAAAAGAAUUUUAUUGGAAAUGCCAGAUUUUGCACACCUUUUUGAGAAAGUAAAUCAUUUUGUUGAACACGAAAACUAUCAAACGGCAUUACGUUAUGCCUCCUUCGCUGUGGAUAGAGCUCGCGAACUUUUGUAUUCUAUGCAUUGGAAAAACUUAUUGCUUCAGUACAGAAAGAUUUAUUCUUUUUCUAGUGUUUAUUGCGGUAUUUGCUAUUUAGCUCUUUCUGAUUACCAAAAUUGCUUGCGCUUUUGCGACCUCUCUCUAUUAAUG